rnacentral:rRNA from 1 species
UACAGAGGGUGCGAGCGUUGUCCGGAAUCACUGGGCGUAAAGGGCGCGUAGGUGGCGCUCCAAGUCUGUGGUGAAAGCUCGACGCUCAACGUCGAGUCGGCCAUAGAGACUGGAGGGCUCGAGCACUGUAGGGGCAGAUGGAAUUCCGGGUGUAGCGGUGGAAUGCGUAGAGAUCCGGAAGAACACCGGUGGCGAAGGCGGCAUCCUGGACUGGUACUGACGCUCAAGAGCGAAAGCGUGGGGAGCGAUCCGG